rnacentral:lncRNA from 1 species
UCUUUCAAGUUUGUUCAGCAGUUCCAUUUGCCAAUACAAAGGACAUCUGGAAGUUGUAUGUUAUCUCUUAUUACAGAUUGGUAAAUAUCAUCCAGGGCUUUUCUGCCUUAAAGGCAGUCUGCCAGCUGUUUGAAGAGAUCGAAUCUCAUUUAGAGGAAGGAAAGCACAGAAGACGGAGGAUAACUGCAUGGGGUUCUACAAAUCUUUCAGCUGAGGAAGUCGUGGUGAAGAGUGAGAGAAAGUGAGCUUCAAGACUGGGAAAGAAUGUAAGUCUCUUUUUUUUCCUUUCCAACUCUUAUUUCAAGUUCAAGGGAUACAUGUGCAGGUUUGUUACAUGGGUAAAUUGGAUGUCAUGAGGGUUUGGUAACCAGAUUAUUUCAUGACUCAGCUAAUAAGCAUAGUACCCUAUAGAUAACUUUUUGAUCUUCACCCUCCUUCCGUGCUCCACCCUCAAAUAGACCCUAGUGUCUUUUCUUCCCUUCUUUGUGUCCACAUGUACUCACAGGUUUGCUUCCACUUACAAGCAAUAACAUAUAGUAUUUGGUUUUCUGUUUCUGUGAUAAUUCACUUACGAUAAUGUCCUCCAGCUGAAUUCAUGUAGCUGUGAAGGACAUGAUUUUAUUCUUUUUUAACAGCUGCAUAGUAUUCCAU